UACGUAGGGUGCGAGCGUUGUCCGGAAUUAUUGGGCGUAAAGGGCUCGUAGGCGGUUUGUCGCGUCGGGAGUGAAAUCCACUGGCUUAACUGUGGGCUUGCGGUCGAUACGGGCAUCACUGGAGUUCGGCAGGGGAGACUGGAAUUCCUGGUGUAGCGGUGAAAUGCGCAGAUAUCAGGAGGAACACCGGUGGCGAAGGCGGCACUCUGGGCCGGUACUGACGCUGAGGCGCGAAAGCGUGGGAGCAAACAGG
rnacentral:rRNA from 1 species